UUAUCGUUUAUUUGAUAGUACCUUACUACUUGGAUAACCGUGGUAAUUCUAGAGCUAAUACAUGCUAAAAAUCCCAACUUCGGAAGGGAUGUAUUUAUUAGAUUAAAAACCAAUGCCCUUCUGGGCUCUCUGGUGAUUCAUAAUAACUUCUCGAAUCGCACGGCCUUGUGCCGGCGAUGGUUCAUUCAAAUUUCUGCCCUAUCAACUUUCGACGGCUGGGUCUUGGCCAGCCAUGGUGACAACGGGUAACGGAGGGUUAGGGCUCGACCCCGGAGAAGGAGCCUGAGAAACGGCUACUACAUCCAAGGAAGGCAGCAGGCGCGCAAAUUACCCAAUCCCGACUCGGGGAGGUAGUGACAAUAAAUACUGAUACAGGGCUCUUUUGGGUCUUGUAAUUGGAAUGAGUACAAUUUAAAUCCCUUAACGAGGAACAAUUGGAGGGCAAGUCUGGUGCCAGCAGCCGCGGUAAUUCCAGCUCCAAUAGCGUAUAUUAAAGUUGUUGCAGUUAAAAAGCUCGUAGUUGAACCUUGGGCCUGGCUGGCCGGUCCGCCUCACCGCGUGCACUGGUCCGGCCGGGCCUUUCCCUCUGGGGAACCGCAUGCCCUUCACUGGGUGGUGUCGGGGAACCAGUACUUUUACUUUGAACAAAUUAGAUCGCUUAAAGAAGGCCUAUGCUCGAAUACAUUAGCAUGGAAUAAUAGAAUAGGAACGUGUGGUUCUAUUUUUGUUGGUUUCUAGGACCGCCGUAAUGAUUAAUAGGGACAGUCGGGGGCAUCAGUAUUCAAUUGUCAGAGGUGAAAUUCUUGGAUUUAUUGAAGACUAACUACUGCGAAAGCAUUUGCCAAGGAUGUUUU
rnacentral:rRNA from 1 species